rnacentral:rRNA from 1 species
ACGGGUGAGUAACGCGUGAGUAACCUGCCCUGGAGUGGGGGACAACAGUUGGAAACGACUGCUAAUACCGCAUAAGCCCACGGCCCGGCAUCGGGCUGCGGGAAAAGGAUUUAUUCGCUUCAGGAUGGACUCGCGUCCAAUUAGCUAGUUGGUGAGGUAACGGCCCACCAAGGCGACGAUUGGUAGCCGGACUGAGAGGUUGAACGGCCACAUUGGGACUGAGACACGGCCCAGACUCCUACGGGAGGCAGCAGUGGGGGAUAUUGCACAAUGGGGGAAACCCUGAUGCAGCGACGCCGCGUGGAGGAAGAAGGUUUUCGGAUUGUAAACUCCUGUCGUUAGGGACGAUAAUGACGGUACCUAACAAGAAAGCACCGGCUAACUACGUGCCAGCAGCCGCGGUAAAACGUAGGGUGCAAGCGUUGUCCGGAAUUACUGGGUGUAAAGGGGGCGCAGGCGGACCGGCAAGUUGGAAGUGAAAACUAUGGGCUCAACCCAUAAAUUGCUUUCAAAACUGCUGGCCUUGAGUAGUGCAGAGGUAGGUGGAAUUCCCGGUGUAGCGGUGGAAUGCGUAGAUAUCGGGAGGAACACCAGUGGCGAAGGCGACCUACUGGGCACCAACUGACGCUGAGGCUCGAAAGCAUGGGUAGCAAACAGGAUUAGAUACCCUGGUAGUCCAUGCCGUAAACGAUGAUUACUAGGUGUUGGAGGAUUGACCCCUUCAGUGCCCGCAGUUAACACAAUAAGUAAUCCACCUGGGGAGUACGACCGCAAGGUUGAAACUCAAAGGAA